AGCGAACGCUGGCGGCAGGCUUAACACAUGCAAGUCGAACGCCCCGCAAGGGGAGUGGCAGACGGGUGAGUAACACGUGGGAACGUACCCUUUGGUUCGGAAUAACUUGGGGAAACUCAAGCUAAUACCGGAUAAGCCCUUAUGGGGAAAGGUUUACUGCCGAAGGAUCGGCUCGCGUCUGAUUAGCUAGUUGGUGAGGUAAUGGCUCACCAAGGCGACGAUCAGUAGCUGGUCUGAGAGGAUGAUCAGCCACACUGGGACUGAGACACGGCCCAGACUCCUACGGGAGGCAGCAGUGGGGAAUAUUGGACAAUGGGGGCAACCCUGAUCCAGCCAUGCCGCGUGAGUGAUGAAGGCCUUAGGGUCGUAAAGCUCUUUUACCCGGGACGAUAAUGACUGUACCGGGAGAAUAAGCCCCGGCUAACUUCGUGCCAGCCGCCGCGGUAA
rnacentral:rRNA from 1 species